rnacentral:rRNA from 1 species
GAUGAACGCUGGCGGCGUGCUUAAUACAUGCAAGUCGAGCGGACAGACGAGGAGCUUGCUCCUCUGACGUUUGCGGCGGACGGGAGAGUAACACGUGGAUAACCCACUUAUAUGACUGGGAUAUCUUCGGGAAACCGGAGCUAACACCGGAUAAUCUCUUGAACCGCAUGGUUCAUUAGUGAAAGACGGUUUUGCUGUCACUUAUAGCUGGAUCCGCGCCGCAUUAGCUAGUUGGUAAGGUAACGGCUUACCAAGGCAACGAUGCGUAGCCGACCUGAGAGGGUGAUCGGCCACACUGGAACUGAGACACGGUCCAGACUCCUACGGGAGGCAGCAGUAGGGAAUCUUCCGCAAUGGGCGAAAGCCUGACGGAGCAACGCCGCGUGAGUGAUGAAGGUCUUCGGAUCGUAAAACUCUGUUAUUAGGGAAGAACAAAUGUGUAAGUAACUAUGCACGUCUUGACGGUACCUAAUCAGAAAGCCACGGCUAACUACGUG